UUAACUAUUAUAUAGUACUCAGACAGUAUAGACAAACAGAGUUUAGGUCCUCUGGCAAGCGCGAGCCAGCCGGAGCCGGUGCCCAGAGGGCGGCGUGCCAAAGCAACAAAUAUAUAAUACGCAAAGGGUGAGGUUUGCUACCCAGAGGGCAGCGAACACUGUAAUGAUCCUUCCGCAGGUUCACCUACGGAAA
rnacentral:misc_RNA from 1 species